GAUCCUGCCGGAGGCGACUGCUAUUGGGGUUCGGCUAAAGCAUGCUAGUCGUGCGAUACAGCGGCAUACGGCUCCGUAACACGUGGAUAACCUACCCACAGGAAGGGGAUAACCCCGGGAAACUGAGGCUAAUCCCUUAUAGACAAGAGAAGCUGGAAGGCUUUCUUGUCCAAAGGUCCGCCGCCAGUGGAUGGGUCCGCGCCUGAUUAGGCUGUUGGUAGGGUAAAGGCCUACCAAACCUAUGAUCAGUACGGGCAAUGAGAGUUGGAGCCCGGAGAUGGGGACUGAGACAAGGCCCCAGGUCCUACGGGGCGCAGCAGCUACGAAAACUUCGCAAUGCCCGAAAGGGUGACGAGGGAACCCCAAGUGCUUCCGUUUUACGGAGGCUUUUCUUUGGCUUAGUGAACCAGGGGAAUAAGAGCUGGGUAAGACCGGUGCCAGCCGCCGCGGUAACACCGGCAGCUCAAGUGGUCGCCGCGUUUAUUGGACCUAAAGCGUUCGUAGCCGGGCAUGUAAGUCUCCAGGUAAAUCGUGCGUUUAAUCGUACGGCUUCUGGAGAAACUGCACGCCUUGAGGCCGGGAGAGGUGAGAGGUACUCCAGGGGUAGCGGUAAAAUGCUAUAAUCCUUGGGGGACCACCUGUGGCGAAGGCGUCUCACUGGAACGGCCCUGACGGUGAGGGACGAAACCCAGGGGAGCGAGCCGGAUUAGAUACCCGGGUAGUCCUGGGCGUAAAUCAUGCGGAUAAAGUGUGUCGCUAUCUACGAGAUAGCGCCAUGCCGUAGGGAAGCCGUUAAGUCCGCCGUCUGGGGAGUACGGUCGCAAGGCUGAAACUUAAAGGAAUUGGCGGGGGAGCACCACAAGGGGUGGAGGCUGCGGUUUAAUUGGAUUCAACGCCGGG
rnacentral:rRNA from 1 species